ACGAACGCUGGCGGCCGUAGCCUAAUACAUGCAAGUCGAACGGUCUUUCUAUGGAAGCUUGCUUCCACUGAGAAGAUAGUGGCGAACGGGUGAGUAACACGUGGGUAACCCUGCCCAUAAGAGGGGGAUAACAUCCGGAAACGGGUGCUAAUACCGCAUAGUUUUCUUGAUCGCAUGAUCGGGAAAGGAAAGACGGCCUUUGUGCUGUCGCUUAUGGAUGGACCCGCGGCGUAUUAGUUAGUUGGUGAGGUAACGGCUCACCAAGACGAUGAUACGUAGCCGACCUGAGAGGGUGAUCGGCCACAUUGGGACUGAGACACGGCCCAAACUCCUACGGGAGGCAGCAGUAGGGAAUCUUCCGCAAUGGACGAAAGUCUGACGGAGCAACGCCGCGUGAGUGAAGAAGGUUUUCGGGAAUCGUAAAACUCUGUUGUCAGAGAAGAACAAGUUGGAGAGUAACUGCUCCAGCCUUGACGGUAUCUGACCAGAAAGCCACGGCUAACUACGUGCCAGCAGCAGC
rnacentral:rRNA from 1 species